UACCGCAAACCGACACAGGUAGUCAAGAUGAGAAUUCUAAGGUGAGCGAGAGAACUCUCGUUAAGGAACUCGGCAAAAUGACCCCGUAACUUCGGGAGAAGGGGUGCUCUUUAGGGUUCACGCUCUGAAGAGCCGCAGUGAAUAGGCCCAAGCGACUGUUUAUCAAAAACACAGGUCUCUGCUAAACCGUAAGGUGAUGUAUAGGGGCUGACGCCUGCCCGGUGCUGGAAGGUUAAGAGGAGUGGUUAGCUUCUGCGAAGCUACGAAUCGAAGCCCCAGUAAACGGCGGCCGUAACUAUAACGGUCCUAAGGUAGCGAAAUUCCUUGUCGGGUAAGUUCCGACCCGCACGAAAGGCGUAACGAUUUGGGCACUGUCUCAACGAGAGACUCGGUGAAAUCAUAGUACCUGUGAAGAUGCAGGUUACCCGCGACAGGACGGAAAGACCCCGUGGAGCUUUACUGUAGCCUGAUAUUGAAAUUCGGCACAGCUUGUACAGGAUAGGUAGGAGCCUUAGAAGCGUGAGCGCCAGCUUACGUG
rnacentral:rRNA from 1 species